rnacentral:rRNA from 1 species
UACGAAGGGGGCUAGCGUUGUCCGGAAUUACUGGGCGUAAAGCGCACGCAGGCGGCUCGAUAAGUUAGAAGUGAAAGCCCCGGGCUUAACCUGGGAAUUGCUUUUAAGACUGUCGGGCUAGAAUCCAGAAGAGGGUAGUGGAAUUCCGAGUGUAGAGGUGAAAUUCGUAGAUAUUCGGAAGAACACCAGUGGCGAAGGCGACUACCUGGUCUGGCAUUGACGCUCAUGUGCGAAAGCGUGGGGAGCAAACAGG